GGGUUUGAUCAUGGCUCAGAACGUACGCUGGCGGCACGCCUAACACAUGCAAGUCGAACGAAGUAGCAAUACUUAGUGGCAGACGGGUGAGUAACAUGUAGGUAUCUACCCUUUGGCCUGGAAUAACACGAGGAAACUUGUGCUAAUACCGGAUAAGUCUUUACGGAGAAAGCUUUAUGCACCAUUGGAUGAGCCUGCACUUGAUUAGUUUGUUGGUAGGGUAAUGGCCUACCAAGACUUUGAUCAAUAGCUGAUUUGAGAGGAUGAUCAGCCACAUUGGGACUGAGACACGGCCCAAACUCCUACGGGAGGCAGCAGUGGGGAAUCUUGCACAAUGGAGGAAACUCUGAUGCAGCGAUGCCGCGUGAGUGAAGAAGGCCCUUGGGUUGUAAAGCUCUUUCGUCGGGGAAGAAAAUGACUGUACCCGAAUAAGAAGGUCCGGCUAACUUCGUGCCAGCAGCCGCGGUAAUACGAAGGGACCUAGCGUAGUUCGGAAUUACUGGGCUUAAAGAGUUCGUAGGUGGUUGAAAUAGUUGGUGGUGAAAUCCCAGAGCUUAACUCUGGAACUGCCAUCAAAACUUUUCAGCUUGAGUUUGAUAGAGGAAAGCAGAAUUUCUAGUGUAGAGGUGAAAUUCGUAGAUAUUAGAAAGAAUACCAAUUGCGAAGGCAGCUUUCUGGAUCAUUACUGACACUGAGGAACGAAAGCAUGGGUAGCGAAGAGGAUUAGAUACCCUCGUAGUCCAUGCCGUAAACGAUGUGUGUUAGACGUUGGAAAUUUAUUUUCAGUGUCGCAGCGAAAGCGAUAAACACACCGCCUGGGGAGUACGACCGCAAGGUUAAAACUCAAAUG
rnacentral:rRNA from 1 species